UACGUAGGGUGCGAGCGUUGUCCGGAAUUAUUGGGCGUAAAGAGCUCGUAGGCGGUUUGUUGCGUCUAUCGUGAAAACCUGCAGCUUAACUGUGGGCUUGCGGUGGAUACGGGCAGACUUGAGUUCGGUAGGGGAGACUGGAAUUCCUGGUGUAGCGGUGAAAUGCGCAGAUAUCAGGAGGAACACCGGUGGCGAAGGCGGGUCUCUGGGCCGAUACUGACGCUGAGGAGCGAAAGCAUGGGGAGCGAACAGG
rnacentral:rRNA from 1 species